CCGGGUGACCGUGUGGUGGAUUGUGCGGGAGUGAGAAUGCAGGCAUGAGUAGCGAGUGGUGGGUGAGAAUCCCACGCGCCGAUUGACUAAGGGUUCCAGGGCAAGGUUUAUCCGCCCUGGGUUAGUCGGGUCCUAAGGCGAGGCCGACAGGCGUAGUCGAUGGAUGACCAGUUGAUAUUCUGGUACCGGUUUUUUCUUGUCCAGUGCUGACAAAGUUGUGCUAACCAACGCCGUGAUGGUGGUGAUUCCUUCGGGUUUUACCACCUAGUGGUCUUGGGGUCCCUUCUUGGGUAGGCAAGCGUGUUAACAGGGGUGACGCAGUAGGGUAGCUGAUGCUGGCCGGUGGUUGUGCCAGUCUAAGGUUGUGGCCCGCAUGCUAGGUAAAUCCGGUGUGCUGUCUUUAAUGAUAAGGGUGAGGGCUGAUGGGACUGCCACUUAUAGUGGUGGUUAUUGGUGUGCCUGUGCUGUCUAGAAAAGCCUCGACGUUAGAGGAAAACCGCCCGUACCCUAAACCGACUCAGGUAGUUAGGUAGAGUAUACUAAGGCGUGCGAGUGAAUCAUGGUUAAGGAACUCGGCAAAAUGCCCCCGUAACUUCGGGAUAAGGGGGACCAGGCCCGGACAAGUACUGUUUUUCUGGUUUUUGUUUGGGUGUGGUCGCAGUGAUUUGGAAGAAGCGACUGUUUACUAAAAACAUAGGUGUGUGCGAAGCUGUAAGGCGAUGUAUACGCACUGACGCCUGCCCGGUGCUGGAAGGUUAAGCGGAAGGCUCAACCCCCUUGUGGGGUGAAGGUUUGAAGUUAAGCCCCAGUAAACGGCGGUGGUAACUAUAACCAUCCUAAGGUAGCGAAAUUCCUUGUCGGGUAAGUUCCGACCUGCACGAAUGGCGUAACGACUUCUUCGCUGUCUCGACCAUGAACUCGGUGAAAUUGCAUUACGAGUAAAGAUGCUCGUUUCGCGCAGCAGGACGGAAAGACCCCGGGACCUUUACUAUAGCUUGGUAUUGGUAGCCGGUUGUGUUUGUGUAGGAUAGGUGGGAGACUGUGAAGCCGCUACGCUAGUGGUGGUGGAGUCGUUGUUGAAAUACCACUCUGAUAUAAACGGUUAUCUAACCUUGGUCCGUGAUCCGGAUUGGGGACAGUGCCUGGUGGGUAGUUUAACUGGGGCGGUUGCCUCCUAAAUGGUAACGGAGGCGCUCAAAGGUCUUCUCAGCCUGGUUGGUAAUCAGGUGUUGAGUGUAAGUGUAGAAGAAGGCUUGACUGUGACACUGACGGGUGGAGCAGGUGCGAAAGCAGGAACUAGUGAUCCGGCCGUGGUUCGUGGAAACGCGGUCGCUCAACGGAUAAAAGGUACCCCGGGGAUAACAGGCUGAUCUUGCCCAAGAGUCCAUAUCGACGGCAUGGUUUGGCACCUCGAUGUCGGCUCGUCGCAUCCUGGGGCUGGAGUCGGUCCCAAGGGUUGGGCUGUUCGCCCAUUAAAGCGGUACGCGAGCUGGGUUUAGAACGUCGUGAGACAGUUCGGUCCCUAUCCGCUGCGCGCGUAGGAAACUUGAGAAGGCCUGUCCCUAGUACGAGAGGACCGGGACGGACAAGCCUCUGGUGUGCCAGUUGUACCGCCAGGUGCAUGGCUGGUUAGCUACGCUUGGGAAGGAUAACCGCUGAAAGCAUCUAAGCGGGAAGCCUGCUUCAAGACAAGGUUUCCAACCCCCUCUUGGGGGGAGAGACUCCCAAUAGAUGAUUGGGUUGAUAGGCCAGGCGUGUAAGCAUGGUAACGUGUUUAGCUUACUGGUACUAAUAGUCAACAACUAAAAACA
rnacentral:rRNA from 1 species